rnacentral:rRNA from 1 species
UGAGGAAUAUUGGUCAAUGGGCGGGAGCCUGAACCAGCCAAGCCGCGUGAGGGAAGAAGGCCCUAUGGGUCGUAAACCUCUUUUGUCAGGGAACAAAAGCGAGUAUGUAUACUAGUCUGAGUGUACCUGAAGAAAAACGCAUCGGCUAACUCCGUGCCAGCAGCCGCGGUAAUACGGAGGAUGCGAGCGUUAUCCGGAUUUAUUGGGUUUAAAGGGUGCGUAGGCGGCGAUGCAAGUCAGCGGUAAAAGCCCGGGGCUCAACCCCGGCGAGCCGUUGAAACUGCAGUGCUAGAGAAGGCGAGAGGUACGCGGAAUGCGCAGUGUAGCGGUGAAAUGCUUAGAUAUUGCGCAGAACUCCGAUUGCGAAGGCAGCGUACUGGCGCCUGACUGACGCUGAGGCACGAAAGCGUGGGUAGCGAACAGGAUUAGAUACCC